ACCAGCCUGAAAGCAAACCUGGUAGCAGCCACCACUUUCACUGCUGUGAAAAAGAGCAAGAAUAGCACUGAGCAGUGCCGGACUCUGCAGGACAGGCUGCCUCUUCUCCCAGGUGGCACAGGCUCUGAUACCCUUCCAGACAAAAGGUUCUUCAUCAAUAUUAAAGAAAUUGUUUCAGCAAAUACUAAACCAAGCAGUCUCAUGAUUCUGCAGAUUUGAUAAAUGAAUAAAUCUUUGCAUAGGCAGAGACUAACAAGGUGAAAAUGAAUGCAUCUGGGGACAAACGGAGAUCAAGACAGACUAUUUAUCUCAAAUUUUUCAAAACUUUUGAUACUCUCUCCCAAAACAGCUGUGUAUCUGAAUGUGGACAUUACAGUCUCUAUACAUAUACAACUACAUGGAUGGAAAAUGGUGUGGUGGGCAGGCUCAGACGGCAGAGAUUCACGGGUCAUACUCUACCUGGAGGCAGCAAGCAGAACACGCUUGGGGCCUAUCCUGGCAUCCGUCCUCCUGCACAUCUUCAUCUAUCACCUGGAGGAAAGAAACCAUGGAGGCCACUCUCAUCAGGAGUACAUGUGAUACCAAACUGGUGGUGGUGUCAGGGGCAGCAGUUGAUAUACUCAAGGGCAGGACUGCUGUUCAGAGGGACAGGCUGGAAGAAUGGGCCAACAGGAACCCUGUGAAACUCAACAAGGACCAGUGCCAAGUCCUGCACCCGGGAAGGAGGAACCCCUCGCAAGGGCACAGCCUGCAGCUCUGUGGAAAAGGAAGAUCAGGUCGUGGUAGACACCAGUUUGGAUGCGGGUCAGCAGGGACCCCUGGCAGCAAUGAAGGCCAACGGCAUCCCAGGCUGCAUGACCAGCAGCACAGCUGGUACAUCAAGGGCGGUGAGUCUCAGGGCUUUUAAAACACCAUCUAGAAUACGGCAUCCAAAUCUGGGGCCUCCAAUACAACUCAGCUGUCAGUAAAUUGGAAGAAGUUCAGUGGAGGGCCACUGUGAUGACUGGUGUCUGGAGCACUUGCCCUGUGAGGAGAGGCUGAGGAAGAUAGGCUUGUUCAGCUUGGAGAACAGAUGGCUUGUGGGGGAAGGAGUAGCAGAAGCCUGACAGUACCUAUGAUGAAGUUAUUGAAGACACAGUCUGGUUCUUUGCAGUGCUGCAUGGCAGGAGGAUGAGAGUCAAUGGGCAUAAACAGCAACUACAUUUAAGGAACAGAUUUUCCAUCCUGACCAUAAAUCUAGCAGUGUCAGAGGUUGUGUAUUCUCCACCGUUGGAUGCUUUCAAGACCCAACUGCAUAAAGCUCUGAGCACUUGGUCUGAUCUUAUAGCUGACCUUUCUUUCAGAUGGAGGUUGGUUUCGAAAAUUCCUGAGGUCCUUUUCCAAUCUGACCUGUUUUACAUCUCUAUAAUUCAAUGAAUCAGCCAUGUUAAGUAAUAUAGUCCUGAGCCUGAAGUCAGAGAGUAAAUAAUAUUAAAAAGGCAAAACCACUCCAACCACGGGAAAGAGUAGCUCUUCAGAUACUCCAAAGUUUAGCAGAAGAAGGACUACAUCGUUCUACACGUCCUGAAGAGAGUGUUAAAUUUAAAUAUAACUACCUAGAAGUUAGGCUUCUACACCAAGAUAGUUACCUGCAGCCAGCGAGGCACCUCCAAGAAGUGUUUCCUGUUGUUAGUUCAUUUAAAGGUAUCACAAUUAAGCACCAAAGAAGUGGUGUCUGUAGGUAACACUCCCACUGCAGCAACAUGGCUGUGGUAACAACAGAUAUUUUCACCUUACAUACAAGCAGCUGUGCUUUUGGGUCUUAGCUGGUUUUUGUACUUGAGAAAACAUUCACUGUCGUGGU